GAUGAACGCUGGCGGCGUGCCUAAUACAUGCAAGUCGAGCGAAUGGAUUAAGAGCUUGCUCUUAUGAAGUUAGCGGCGGACGGGUGAGUAACACGUGGGUAACCUGCCCAUAAGACUGGGAUAACUCCGGGAAACCGGGGCUAAUACCGGAUAACAUUUUGAACCGCAUGGUUCGAAAUUGAAAGGCGGCUUCGGCUGUCACUUAUGGAUGGACCCGCGUCGCAUUAGCUAGUUGGUGAGGUAACGGCUCACCAAGGCAACGAUGCGUAGCCGACCUGCGAGGGUGAGCGGCCACACUGGGACUGAGCCACGGCCCAGACUCCUACGGGAGGCAGCAGUAGGGAAUCUUCCGCAAUAGACGAAAGUCUGACGGAGCAACGCCGCGUGAGUGAUGAUGGCUUUCGGGUCGUAAAACUCUGUUGUUAGGGAAGAACAAGUGCUAGUUGAAUAAGCUGGCACCUUGACGGUACCUAACCAGAAAGCCACGGCUAACUACGUGCCAGCAGCCGCCGUAA
rnacentral:rRNA from 1 species